rnacentral:rRNA from 1 species
GAUCCUGGCUCAGGAUGAACGCUAGCUACAGGCUUAACACAUGCAAGUCGAGGGGCAGCAUGGUCUUAGCUUGUCUAAGGCUGAUGGCGACUGGCGCACGGGUGAGUAACACGUAUCCAACCGUGCCGUCUACUCUUGGCCAGCCUUCUAAAAGGAAGAUUAAUCCAGGAUGGGAUCAUGAGUUCACAUGUCCGCAUGAUUAAAGGUAUUUUCCGGUAGACGAUGGGG